UACGAAGGGGGCUAGCGUUGCUCGGAAUCACUGGGCGUAAAGCGCACGUAGGCGGAUUGUUAAGUCAGGGGUGAAAUCCUGGAGCUCAACUCCAGAACUGCCUUUGAUACUGGCGAUCUCGAGUCCGGGAGAGGUGAGUGGAACUGCGAGUGUAGAGGUGAAAUUCGUAGAUAUUCGCAAGAACACCAGUGGCGAAGGCGGCUCACUGGCCCGGUACUGACGCUGAGGUGCGAAAGCGUGGGGAGCAAACAUG
rnacentral:rRNA from 1 species